rnacentral:sRNA from 1 species
AAAACAACAAAAGGGAAGUGGAAUGGAACUAGGACAGAAUGGGGUCAGAGCAUAAGAACAAAAGGAAACAGAAAAAAACUGAGCUCAAAUUUCAAAGAUUAUGAAAGUUUGAGUUAAUAAAGGAGUAAUGGAUAUCAACCAAAGGAAGCACACUAUUAAAUAGCAAGAUAAUCAAAGAAAAACAGAAAUAUAGAGGGAAUAAUUGCAAUCAAAAUAUAUUAUUUUUAAAUAAAGAAAAUCAUGGAAUAAAAAAUGAGUAAAAGUAAGGUCAAGAGACAAAGCUUUUGGAGUUUAUGGCAGAAAGAAUUUCAACUGGGUGAUUCAUGUGCCCAUUAGAGCUUGAGAAGCACUGCUUGGAAGCCCCUUCUGCCAUCAAUGAGCACCAUCCUCAGGAUCCCCUCUGCCAGUGGCCGGAGCAAAGCCUUCUCCACGUGCUCCUCGCAUCUCACCGUGGUGCUCAUUUGGUAUGGGUCCACAGUUUUCCUUCACGUCCGCACCUCUAUCAAAGACGCCUUGGAUCUGAUCAAAGCUGUCCACAUCCUGAACACUGUGGUGACUCCAGUUUUAAACCCCUUCAUCUAUACGCUUCGUAAUAAGGAAGUAAGAGAGACUCUGCUGAAGAAAUGGAAGGGAAAAUAAAUCUCCUCUACCACAACAGAUGUCCUGUAAAUGGUCUCUGCAUCUAUACAGAGGUUCCAAGUAAGAAUGUGGAGGAAUAGGGCAAAUCUUUCUUGGUACACAGAGAAAAAACAAACAAACAAAACAAGCAAUACUGUAUUUUCUAUACAUUAUCAUGUAUGAUAAAAAUGGGAGUUUUUGACGUAAGCAAAUGGGAUUUUUAAGCAAAAAAUAAUUAUACAUUGAAUUAGGUUUGCUCUGGACUUUGGUUUAUAAAUUAGAGACAUCUGCAAUAAAAAGAGUGCUUUGGUAUAUCAGCUCUAAAUUCUUGUUUCUUUUUAAAGAUUAGCAAAAUUGUCUUAGUAUAAAGUAUUGAAAACUACAUUUGUGGAACACGAGGGAAGAGAAAUAGGC